GAAAUGGCGAUAGUUUCGUCACCUGGCAAAAUGUCAAUUUGGACAUUGCAAAGACAGCAGGGGACCCUGACCAUGGAGGAUGGCGUGCAGGCUUUACUCGCCCCUUCCUCGCCACGGCGACACGGUGCCCCCUACCACCCAAACAGGAAGCAGAGGCUAAGGUGAUCGGCAAGCUGUUCGCAGGGGUUGCUCAAACCGCUACCAACACGUACAACAUCACUGCUACUGGCUUCUCAGAGCUGGCUGUUCCUCCGCGAGCUCGUCGGAGAUGGUGGAGGUGAGUUGGCCAGGCUGGUUCACUUUGGUAGCGUGCCCGCUCCUCUCCUGUCUGAUUCUCAGUCAGGUGGGGGAGCAGCUCGCCCGCCGCCAAUCAACAUGCUGGCAUCCAUGAAGAGCUUUUAACAUGGAAGCUGUGCGGUCACAAAUCCAUGACACACCCACCGCCACGGUGCUUCCAAUCAAUUCAAAAAGACUGCAGGCUCUUAUUGGCCCGAACAGGCUGCUAACUGGGCAUGCAAGUACUGGAGAGCAAAAUGAAGAAGGGAUUUUAUUCCCCUUCUUUUGUCAUUCCAAAGAAUGGGGGUGUGGGAAUGCGCCCUAUCCUGUAUCUGAGAGCUCUCAAUCGAAUCAUAGUACCCAGUACGGCACAGACACCAGCUGGUAACUAUUAUGCCCUGCGUAAGGAGCAGGCUUGCUGGAACUGCCCGUUGCGCCUGAGGGAGGGUUUUCCAGUGGGCACGGUGACCCCAUCACGUUCAAUCUCUGUCGGGCUGGGGAGGCAUGUUCAGAUCGUACAGCAUCAAAGGUCGGUGGAGCAGCAACGACCACCGCCACAUGAACUUGUUGGAGAUGGAGGCGGUGCUACGGGUGCUGAAACACCACCAGAGGGUGGUGGCGUGUAUCAACCUUUCAGGGCAGCGGGCAGUCACGAACGCUUCUGUUACAACCCCCGGCGCCCCCUGCAGGCAAAAGUGGGGAUGUCGAGCGUCGUUGAUUGACUGAUUACCCACACCUGGGGAGGUACAAAGGAUCAGUGGACACCUGUCGGUCUCUCGAGCUGUUUCUCAGUAUACAGCCGUCAAACCCCUUAUUGUGUGUGAUAUUUGUAUGGGCUAAAUAAACACGCGUCAUUUUGUAAGAAAACCGUUUGUUGUAUGCCUCCAUAGUUUAUGUUUGCGGUCACGAGCCGGCCGUGACAGCUUCACUGCCUGGC
ensembl:lncRNA